rnacentral:rRNA from 1 species
UGGGGAAUUUUGGACAAUGGGCGCAAGCCUGAUCCAGCCAUACCGCGUGAGUGAAGAAGGCCUGAGGGUUGUAAACUGCUUUUGCCAGGGGAUAAAAAGACCGUGCGCGGUUAAUUGAAGGUACCUGGUGAAUAAGCCACGGCUAACUACGUGCCAGCAGCCGCGGUAAUACGUAGGUGGCAAGCGUUGUCCGGAUUUAUUGGGUUUAAAGGGUGCGUAGGUGGCCCUGUAAGUCAGUGGUGAAAUAUCUCAGCUUAACUGAGAGGGUGCCAUUGAUACUGCAGGGCUUGAGUACAGAUGAGGUAGGCGGAAUUGACGGUGUAGCGGUGAAAUGCAUAGAUAUCGUCAAGAACACCGAUAGCGAAGGCAGCUUACCAAGCUGUAACUGACACUGAGGCACGAAAGUGUGGGGAUCAAACAGGAUUAGAUACCCCAGUAGUCCCUGAGCGGGCUGGCAAGGCGCAU